rnacentral:rRNA from 1 species
CCUACGGGUGGCAGCAGUCGAGAAUCUUUCACAAUGGAGGAAACUCUGAUGCUGCGACGCCGCGUGCGGGAAUGAAGGUCUUCGAAUUGUAAACCCCUUUCAUGUGGGGGCAAAUCAAAAAGAUAGUACCACAAGAGGAAGAGACUGCUAACUCGGUUCCAGCAGCGGCGGGAAUACAGAGGUUUCAAGCGUUGUUCGGAAUCACUUGGCGUAAAGGGUGCGUAGGCGGUUUCGGAAGUCGUGUGUGAAAGGCGCGGGCUCAACCCGGGGACGGCACAUGAUACUGGGAGACUAGAGUAUUGGAGGGGGAGGCGGAAGUUACGGUGUAGCAGUGAAAUGCAUAGAGAUC